UACAGAGGGGGCUAGCGUUAUUCGGAAUUAUUGGGCGUAAAGGGCUCGUAGGCGGCCAACUAAGUCAGACGUGAAAUCCCCAGGCUCAACCUGGGAACUGCGUCUGAUACUGGAUGGCUUGAAUUCGGGAGAGGGAUGCAGAAUUCCAGGUGUAGCGGUGAAAUGCGUAGAUAUCUGGAGGAAUACCGGUGGCGAAGGCGGCAUCCUGGACCGACAUUGACGCUGAGGAGCGAAAGCUAGGGGAGCAAACGGG
rnacentral:rRNA from 1 species